rnacentral:rRNA from 1 species
AGUGAACGCUGGCGGCGUGCUUAACACAUGCAAGUCGAUCGAGAACGGAUUAUAGCUUGCUAUAAUUGUCAGCUAAGUGGCGCACGGGUGAGUAAUGUAUAGGUAAUAUGCCUCUUACUAAGGGAUAACAAAUGGAAACGUUUGCUAAUACCUUAUACUCCUUAUUAACAGAAGUUAAUAAGGGAAAGAUUCAUUGGUAAGAGAUUAGCCUGUAUUGUAUCAGUUAGUUGGUGGGGUAAUGGCUUACCAAGACUAUGACACAUAACUGGUUUGAGAGGAUGAUCAGUCACACUGGAACUGAGACACGGUCCAGACUCCUACGGGAGGCAGCAGUGGGGAAUAUUGCACAAUGGACGAAAGUCUGAUGCAGCAACGCCGCGUGGAGGAUGACACAUUUCGGUGCGUAAACUCCUUUUAUAUGAGAAGAUAAUGACGGUAUUAUAUGAAUAAGCACCGGCUAACUCCGUGCCAGCCGCCGCAGUAA